AAGAGAGUGUUCUGUCAUGGUUAAUUAAAGUUCUCAACGGUUAAACCGCUUAAUUCGUCACGCUCCGAGUUUCUUCCUCCGUGUCACGAAAAGAUGACUCGGCAGAGGGACAUAAUGAAGAGUCGAGUGUCUAUAAAAUCAUCCAUGAAGGUAAUUUCGAGUUUCUUUUCAUCGUGGCAUUCGACUUGAUGGGGCUUCCCGGACUGAAUCGACGUUGGAAAUACCUCAAGCAAGACGUCGAGGCCGAUCAUUUAGAUGAGAAUCGACGAGCGGUGCGCGUUCGGAAUAAUUGGAAAUCGUCGUUGACACAAUUGUGUCACUUGACUAAACGAUCGGAACGCAAAUUUUAUGAGUUUUGCAAGAGCCUCGGCGCCUCAGUCGAGAAUCUCGUGAUUUUCUCGCCAUCCUGCUUGUCGACCGAUUUUCUCCCAGGGUCGAAUCAUCUCUAAUGUCAAACGGUUCGUCAAAGUGGAGAAAUCAUUAAUUCAGCAAAAAAGGCGUUGCCAGAGCGCGUGGAAGUUUGGAUCGAAAAAAAUGGGCAGCUGGGAAGUCGUUUUGAAACUGAAUUUCUUGGAAGAAUAACUUUUCCAGCACUGCUCAUUCCCGACAUUAAGAUACGAAAGAGGAAUUACUUUCUAGAAUCACUAUAAAAUAAUGAAACGAUCUUUGAAUUCAGUAU
rnacentral:misc_RNA from 1 species